CCUACGGGAGGCAGCAGUGGGGAAUAUUGCACAAUGGGCGAAAGCCUGAUGCAGCGACGCCGCGUGAGGGAUGACGGCCUUCGGGUUGUAAACCUCUUUCAGCAGGGAAGAAGCGAAAGUGACGGUACCUGCAGAAGAAGCGCCGGCUAACUACGUGCCAGCAGCCGCGGUAAUACGUAGGGCGCAAGCGUUGUCCGGAAUUAUUGGGUGUAAAGAGCUCGUAGGCGGCUUGUCACGUCGGGUGUGAAAGCCCGGGGCUUAACCCCGGGUCUGCAUUCGAUACGGGCUAGCUAGAGUGUGGUAGGGGAGGUCGGAAUUCCUGGUGUAGCGGUGAAAUGCGCAGAUAUCAGGAGGAACACCGGUGGCGAAGGCGGAUCUCUGGGCCAUUACUGACGCUGAGGAGCGAAAGCGUGGGGAGCGAACAGGAUUAGAUACCCUGGUAGUCCACGCCGUAAACGGUGGGAACUAGGUGUUGGCGACAUUCCACGUCGUCGGUGCCGCAGCUAACGCAUUAAGUUCCCCGCCUGGGGAGUACGGCCGCAAGGCUAAAACUACAANAUAUGCGNGNGAGNGCGACGACGACGACGACGGAGGAG
rnacentral:rRNA from 1 species